CAGCAGCCGCGGUAAUASGWAGGGUGCAAGCGUUUUUCGGGAUUCYUGGGCGUAAAGCGUGCGCAGGCGGUUUUGUAAGUUUGUSGUGAAAGCCCCGGGCUCAACCUGGGAAUUGCGAUGAAGACUGCAAGGCUUGAAUCUGGCAGAGGGGGGUAGAAUUCCACGUGUAGCAGUGAAAUGCGUAGAGAUGUGGAGGAACACCGAUGGCGAAGGCAGCCCCCUGGGUCAAGAUUGACGCUCAUGCACGAAAGCGUGGGGAGCAAACAGGAUUAGAUACCCUGGUAGUCCACGCCCUAAACGAUGUCUACUAGUUGUCGGGUUUUAAUUAACUUGGUAACGCAGCUAACGCGUGAAGUAGACCGCCGCGGGAGUACGGUCGCAAGAUUAAAACUCAAAGGAAUUGACGGGG
rnacentral:rRNA from 1 species